rnacentral:rRNA from 1 species
CUCCAGACUCCUACGGGAGGCAGCAGUGGGGAAUAUUGCACAAUGGGGGAAACCCUGAUGCAGCGACGCCGCGUGAGCGAUGAAGUAUUUCGGUAUGUAAAGCUCUCUCAGCAGGGAAGAAGAUGACGGUACCUGACUAAGAAGCCCUGGCUAACUACGUGCCAGCAGCCGCGGUAAUACGUAGGGGGCAAGCGUUAUCCGGAUUUACUGGGUGUAAAGGGAGCGUAGACGGCGAUGCAAGCCAGAUGUGAAAGCCCGGGGCUCAACCCCGGGACUGCAUUUGGAACUGUGUGGCUGGAGUGUCGGAGAGGCAGGCGGAAUUCCUAGUGUAGCGGUGAAAUGCGUAGAUAUUAGGAGGAACACCAGUGGCGAAGGCGGCCUGCUGGACGAUGACUGACGUUGAGGCUCGAAAGCGUGGGGAGCAAACAGGAUUAGAUACCCGUGUA